AGUGAACGCUGGCGGUAGGCCUAACACAUGCAAGUCGAACGGCAGCACAGUAAGAGCUUGCUCUUACGGGUGGCGAGUGGCGGACGGGUGAGGAAUACAUCGGAAUCUACUUUUUCGUGGGGGAUAACGUAGGGAAACUUACGCUAAUACCGCAUACGACCUACGGGUGAAAGCAGGGGACCUUCGGACCUUGCGCGAUUGAAUGAGCCGAUGUCGGAUUAGCUAGUUGGCGGGGUAAAGGCCCACCAAGGCGACGAUCCGUAGCUGGUCUGAGAGGAGGAUCAGACACACUGGAAAUGAGACACGGUCCAGACUCCUACGAGAGGCAGCAGUGGGGAAUAUUGGACAAUGGGCGCAAGCCUGAUCCAGCCAUACCGCGUGGGUGAAGAAGGCCUUCGGGUUGUAAAGCCCUUUUGUUGGGAAAGAAAAGUAGCAGGUUAAUACCCCGCUGUUCUGACGGUACCCAAAGAAUAAGCACCGGCUAACUUCGUG
rnacentral:rRNA from 1 species